GCUUGGCCACCACUCCAUCGGCCAGCCCGAGGGCAGCAUUGGCCUGUGUGUGUUAGCAUUUGGGGGCGUUUACUCUCGUGACUUUGAGUGCAGAGCAAACCUGAGUUUCCUUCACCGUGCACAGGCGGGGUUCUAUGCUGAAGUGUGGACAGAAUUGGCUUUUAACAAAACGAGCGUUUUGACAGCUUGAGCAAAUCUGCCUGUGCGUUCUCACAUCACAGAACGGGCCUAGCGAGCUGGUAGAAGUGGAUCCCUGUGGUCCCAGCAGGGUACUGCCAUGAAGAAGUGGUAGCUUUUUUUCUGUGACCCAAAGCAAAAGUACAAAGCAGUCUAGUCUGCUUCAUACCUUGCUCUCAGAUAAGGCUGUGUGGCGUUUCCACUCCUACAGAGCUGGCCUCCCUCUGUGCUCUUUGUACAGACAGAGUUGGCACAGCGUUUCUCAUGGUCCCCUCGCUAGAUCCCAUCACAGCUUUAUCUCUAAGAAUGCCAGAACAGCCACGGCCUGCCUGCCAACUAGUUUCACAAGUCCACGUUUUGUCAAGCUUUCUCUCUAUGCGACUUUCUUUUUUUUUUUUUCUGAGCUUUUUGAGGAAAAGAUGCAGUCGUUAUCGCACUUUAAGACUUGAGCAUCCUCCUAAGAACAAGGACGGCCCUCUAACAGGAUUAGUAAUCCAUACGGUGGAUCUCCGAGUUCAAGGCCAGCCUGGUCUACAGAUUGAG
rnacentral:lncRNA from 1 species